CGUGCCUAAUACAUGCAAGUCGAGCGGAGUCACAAGGAAGCUUGCUUCCUGAACUUUAGCGGCGGACGGGUGAGUAACACGUGGGCAACCUGCCCCUUAGACUGGGAUAACUCCGGGAAACCGGAGCUAAUACCGGAUAAUCCCUUUCUCCACCUGGAGAGAGGGUGAAAGAUGGCUUCGGCUAUCACUAGGGGAUGGGCCCGCGGCGCAUUAGCUAGUUGGUAAGGUAACGGCUUACCAAGGCGACGAUGCGUAGCCGACCUGAGAGGGUGAUCGGCCACACUGGGACUGAGACACGGCCCAGACUCCUACGGGAGGCAGCAGUAGGGAAUCUUCCGCAAUGGACGAAAGUCUGACGGAGCAACGCCGCGUGAGUGAGGAAGGCCUUCGGGUCGUAAAGCUCUGUUGUGAGGGAAGAAGCGGUACCGUUCGAAUAGGGCGGUACCUUGACGGUACCUCACCAGAAAGCCACGGCUAACUACGUGCCAGCAGCCGCGGUAAUACGUAGGUGGCAAGCGUUGUCCGGAAUUAUUGGGCGUAAAGCGCGCGCAGGCGGCUUCUUAAGUCUGAUGUGAAAUCUCGGGGCUCAACCCCGAGCGGCCAUUGGAAACUGGGGAGCUUGAGUGCAGAAGAGGAGAGUGGAAUUCCACGUGUAGCGGUGAAAUGCGUAGAGAUGUGGAGGAACACCAGUGGCGAAGGCGACUCUCUGGUCUGUAACUGACGCUGAGGCGCGAAAGCGUGGGGAGCAAACAGGAUUAGAUACCCUGGUAGUCCACGCCGUAAACGAUGAGUGCUAGGUGUUAGGGGUGUUCGCUGCCCCGUAGUGCCGCAAGCUUAACACAUAAGCACUCCGCCUGGGAGACGUGGACGU
rnacentral:rRNA from 1 species